rnacentral:tRNA from 1 species
GCCCAGAUAGUUCAGUUGGUAGAACAUCAGACUUUUAACCUGACAGUUCAAGGUUCCAGGGUUCAAGUCCCUGUUCAGGUA